AUGAACGCUAGCUACAGGCUUAACACAUGCAAGUCGAGGGGCAGCAUGGUCUUAGCUUGCUAAGGCCGAUGGCGACCGGCGCACGGGUGAGUAACACGUAUCCAACCUGCCGUCUACUCUUGGACAGCCUUCUGAAAGGAAGAUUAAUACAAGAUGGCAUCAUGAGUCCGCAUGUUCACAUGAUUAAAGGUAUUCCGGUAGACGAUGGGGAUGCGUUCCAUUAGAUAGUAGGCGGGGUAACGGCCCACCUAGUCUUCGAUGGAUAGGGGUUCUGAGAGGAAGGUCCCCCACAUUGGAACUGAGACACGGUCCAAACUCCUACGGGAGGCAGCAGUGAGGAAUAUUGGUCAAUGGGCGAGAGCCUGAACCAGCCAAGUAGCGUGAAGGAUGACUGCCCUAUGGGUUGUAAACUUCUUUUAUAAAGGAAUAAAGUCGGGUAUGGAUACCCGUUUGCAUGUACUUUAUGAAUAAGGAUCGGCUAACUCCGUGCCAGCAGCCGCGGUAAUACGGAGGAUCCGAGCGUUAUCCGGAUUUAUUGGGUUUAAAGGGAGCGUAGAUGGAUGUUUAAGUCAGUUGUGAAAGUUUGCGGCUCAACCGUAAAAUUGCAGUUGAUACUGGAUAUCUUGAGUGCAGUUGAGGCAGACGGAAUUCGUGGUGUAGCGGUGAAAUGCUUAAAUAUCACGAAGAACUCCGAUUGCGAAGGCAGCCUGCUAAGCUGCAACUGACAUUGAGGCUCGAAAGUGUGGGUAUCAAACAGGAUUAGAUACCCUGGUAGUCCACACGGUAAACGAUGAAUACUCGCUGUUUGCGAUAUACAGCAAGCGGCCAAGCGAAAGCGUUAAGUAUUCCACCUGGGGAGUACGCCGGCAACGGUGAAAUUCAAAGGAAUUGACGGGGGCCCGCACAAGCGGAGGAACAUGUGGUUUAAUUCGAUGAUACGCGAGGAACCUUACCCGGGCUUAAAUUGCAGAUGAAUUACGGUGAAAGCCGUAAGCCGCAAGGCAUCUGUGAAGGUGCUGCAUGGUUGUCGUCAGCUCGUGCCGUGAGGUGUCGGCUUAAGUGCCAUAACGAGCGCAACCCUUGUUGUCAGUUACUAACAGGUUCCGCUGAGGACUCUGACAAGACUGCCAUCGUAAGAUGUGAGGAAGGUGGGGAUGACGUCAAAUCAGCACGGCCCUUACGUCCGGGGCUACACACGUGUUACAAUGGGGGGUACAGAGGGCCGCUACCACGCGAGUGGAUGCCAAUCCCCAAAACCUCUCUCAGUUCGGACUGGAGUCUGCAACCCGACUCCACGAAGCUGGAUUCGCUAGUAAUCGCGCAUCAGCCACGGCGCGGUGAAUACGUUCCCGGGCCUUGUACACACCGCCCGUCAAGCCAUGGGAGCCGGGGGUACCUGAAGUGCGUAACCGCGAGGAGCGCCCUAGGGUAAAACUGGUGACUG
rnacentral:rRNA from 1 species